rnacentral:lncRNA from 1 species
UAAAAUAAGCUUCCUUGACAAAUGGUGUCGUUUUUAAUAAUGAUUUGAUUAAUGAUGGUUUGAUCAAGGUUGGUUAAUUGGUUUUUGUUUCUCUCGUAUUUGUUUUGGUUUGGUUUGCCUUGGUUCAUUUGGUUCCGUUCAGUUUGAUUUGGAUUCGUUUUGUUCAAUUUGUUUGAUUGUUGGGUGAGUCAAGAUAGUAUUCACAAUUGGUUUGUCUGUUUGGUGAGUCAAAUGUUCACAAUUUGGUUGUUUGGUGAUAAGUAGUAGUUCUAUGCGUUUUUAGCAUUUUAAAUUUAAUGAGAUUUCAUAACUUUAGUUGUAUUCAUUGAGCUAUAUUACUACAAAAGCCUUGGUUUUCGUUUCGGGUUGGUAAUCAAAGGAGCAUAGAGGUUUGGUUCGAGUUUGAGUAAGAAAGGAUCAAGAAUGAAGGCUGAAAAGGAGCAAAACAAGAGGAAAAGCACGGUUCAUGCAUUUUAGCACAGGACCGUGCGCUUUAGUAGGACUUGUGACCAAACCGUGUGCAUCGAAGAGCACGUUCCAGAGAGAUUUGCACAGGGCCGUGCGUUAUUGCACAGGACCAUGUGUUUUGGCGCA